GGAGCUGUGGGAAUCCUUAGCACAGAGGAGCAGAUGAGGUUCCCUAGGAAGAACAUGUAGACUAAAAAGUGCAUCAGGCUGAGAGUUAGCAGAGGGAAAGUACCCACCAGAGGAGACAAAAAAGGUAGAGGAGAAUCGAAGAGAUCUGCAUGUGGAAUCCAAAGAAGAAAGUAACAGACCAGAGUCGCCGGUAUUUUCUUUCCUCUUCAAAACCACUUCUGCUCCAAAGACCAUGAACCUGAACUGAAGAAACGACUCUUUCCUGCUGGUGUGAGAUAAUUCAGUCUCCAUGAUGUCUUAAUCCUGGGCCUCCCUUAAUUGACUUCUAACUGUGCUGAACUGUGGCUGCUAGGAGUUGCAAUGUGGAUCGCAAUUUACAAGGCACUGGAAUCGUUUCUCGUCCUCAAAUUAGUACUGAGCCAUACUCGAGAAAGAUUAAAAAAAAAAAAAAAGGUUUACCUUUCCUGGCUGUCUUGCCAUCUCAAAACGGCCACAGAACUUACUCAGCUUUGAAGAGACUGGAUCCUCCAUUUGAGACCUGAAGACCCUCCAUCAUGCAAGACUGACUGCCUGCCUAUAACUUUGUGGAGAGGCUGGUAUUAACAUACCAGGGCUCAUGGGUGAGCA